AGGUAAGGAAACCCCAGGGGGAAUUGCCCUAGUAACGGCGAGUGAAGCGGCAACAGCUCAAAUUUGAAAGCUGGCCUUCGGGUAAAGCAUUGUAAUUUGUAGAGGAUGCUUUGGGGCAUCCGCCUGUCUAAGUUCCUUGGAACAGGACGUCAUAGAGGGUGAGAAUCCCGUAUGUGACAGGACAUGGCACCCUAUGUAAAGCUCCUUCGACGAGUCGAGUUGUUUGGGAAUGCAGCUCUAAAUGGGAGGUAAAUUUCUUCUAAAGCUAAAUAUUGGCGAGAGACCGAUAGCGCACAAGUAGAGUGAUCGAAAGAUGAAAAGCACUUUGGAAAGAGAGUUAAAAAGCACGUGAAAUUGUUGAAAGGGAAGCGCUUGCAAUCAGACUUGUUCAAACCGUUCGGCCGGUCUUCUGACCGGUUUACUCGGUUUGGACAGGCCAGCAUCAGUUUCGGCGGCCGGAUAAAGGCUCUGGGAAUGUGGCCUCCACUUCGGUGGAGGUGUUAUAGCCCGGGGUGUAAUACGGCCAGCCGGGACUGAGGUCCGCGCUUCGGCUAGGAUGCUGGCGUAAUGGUUGUAAGCGACCCGUCUUGAAACACGGACCA
rnacentral:rRNA from 1 species